rnacentral:piRNA from 1 species
AACCAGAGGGACACUAGAAGAGA